rnacentral:misc_RNA from 1 species
UUUUCAGCGACACAAGUUCCUACCUGUUCUUUACUAACGUUACCUUAGUAUCUCCCCAUGGUUUGCCAUACACGAGACGAUCGAAACCACUCUCUGAAAUGAUGUUUCAAAAAUAUCAUACUAAUUCUGAUAAAUAUCUCAAAAGCAUACCUUACACUUACUACGUGAAUGUUAUUCAAGAUACUAUGGUAGAAAUUAAUAAACGAGAAAAAUACAUA